rnacentral:lncRNA from 1 species
UAGUAUCCCAAGCUACUUCUGGAACUGGUAAUGGUUGUAAUUUUCCAGGGUAUGCUGUUCGGUCCGGUUUAGCCUGAAGACAGAUUUGGCACUGCUGAAUGAAAGUAUGAAUGAAUUGUUUCAUAUUUUUCCAAGCGAACAGUUGUUUGAUGCGGCUGUAAGUAACCGGGAUACCUGAAUGUCCACCCACCGCCGAACAGUGAAGAGCAGUUACAAUACGAGUAUGAAGCUGUGCAUCAUCACCAAUCCACACACGUCCUUUGUAACGCAAGAGUCCAUUGUCCAAAACAAAAUGAGGGACUGCAUUAGGGUCCACAGACAGCUUAGUGAGCAUAGACUGUGUUGCAGAAUCACUGGCAUAGCUGGAUUGCACAUCCUGCAACCAUUGGGGAACCACAACUGAUAUAGCCUGGAUAGAAGAUUGAGCACAUCUGGAUAGUGCAUCAGCCACUCGAUUUUCAGAACCGGAUCUGUAAUGGAUUUUAUAUUGUAGCCCCAAGAGUUUCGUAAAGACCUUAUGCUGCCAGGGUGUAUGAAGGCGUUGUUCGUUAAGUUGGGAGAGACUUUUGUGAUCAGUGACAAUAAUGAAUUCAGCGUGUUGAAGAUAAGCUCUCCAAUGUUGAACCGCUACAAUGAGUGCCAUGUACUCUUUUUCAUAAGUGGAUAAACCACGCGACUUGGGGCCCAAUGACUUGCUGAGAAAUGCUAAGGGGUGUCCUUUUUGCAUUAACACAGCGCCAAUGCCAGAAUCACUAGCAUCAGUUUCCACCACAAAGGAAGUUGAAAAAUCUGGUAAUGCGAGGACAGGAGCAGCAGCAAGGGCUUGUUUCAGUGUUUGAAAAGUCGUGGUAUGUGCAUCGGUCCAAACAAAUAAUACCCCUUUUUUAAGCAAAGCUGUCAAAGGUUGGCAAAUGACCCCAAAGUGUUUGAUAAACUUCCUAUAAUAACCGGCAAGCCCAAGAAAACUGCGCAAUUCUUUGACCGAAUUGGGCACAGGCCACUGCGUUAUAGCGUUGAUUUUCAGUGGAUCUGUGGCUACCCCCUCAGCACUGACCACAUGACCCAAAUAAGCUACCUUGCGUUGAGCAAACGAGCACUUAGAGAGUUUUACCUUCCACUGUUCACGGUCCAGAAGUUGGAAUACUUGGUGCAGGUGGUUCAAGUGGUCUUCCAUGGUAGGACUGUAAACCAAAAUGUCAUCGAAGAAAACUAAUGCACACUUGCGUAGAAGGGGAGCCAAGGUAUUGUUCAUUGCGCACUGAAAGGUGCCAGGUGCUCCAGUCAAUCCGAAGGGCAUCACUCGAAAUUCAAAGUGACCCACAUGAGUUUGGAAAGCUGUUUUAUAUUCAUCACCCUCUUUCAUCAAGAUCUGAUGGAAUCCAGCGCGAAGAUCCAAAAUAGUGAACCAAGCAGCACCAAAAUGUUCAUCUAGCAAUUCAUCAAUGAUGGGCACCGGAUAUUUAGCCUUGACCGUGAGAGCAUUAAGAUGGGACAACCGAUAAGGUCUGAUGUUUACCGGUCGAGCACCAUCCACCAAUGGAAUAGAGUGAUCACAGAAUCUGCUUGGUGGUAAGGAUGUAGGUGGAUCAAAGACGGAAGCAUAUUGCUGCAACAGUUGUAGGACUGGUGCUGGUAGGGAUAAUUCUUCCAAUGAGCACAACUGAGGCAUAUUAGACUGAUGUUCUAACACCGGGUAGACUUGGACAAUAGAUCCAGAAGGCAGUGAUGGAGGCACACCUUGCAGCACAAUAGGUCUGUCCCCGUACUGAAUUGUCAGUCAUUUAUGUUUCCAAUCAACAAACAUGGGGCUGAAUUGCUCUAACCAGUCCAUGCCCAAGAUCAUAUCAUAGAAGGGAAGUGGCACCAGCUUGAAUGUAGAGGUAAAUGUAAGUCCGUGCAUGGUCCACGAUGCAUCAGGAAGUUGAGUGUUACAAUAGAGCAGCUCGCCAUUGGCCACCUUGACUGUUAAUGCUUGUUCCAUAGCAACAACUCCUGAUAGCUUAGUACUAUAAGAAUUAUCCAGAAAACAGUGAGUACUUCCACAGUCCAAUAGAAUUAGCAUGUCAACACCUUGUAUACUGCCACGAAGCCGAAAAGCUUUAGAAUUGGCAGGAACAACUGUGGCCUCCUUAGAUAUUGCCAUGAGGAAUUGCUCAGCUGAAUCUUGAAACUCCCCAUCAGACUCAUCCUUGUCAGGUAAUACCAUAUCCCACAAUUCUUGCAUUACGUGCAACUGGACAGUAGCAGAACAUUUGUGCCCUUUAACCCACUUCUCAGCACAAAACUGACAGAGGCCGCGUGCGCGGCGAUAUGCACGAAGAGAGGCGACUUUACUCUCUGCUGAAGACGAUGAAGGAGUAGAAACUUUAGCUUGAUCUGCUCCAAUCCCCGGAGAAUUUUUGUCAGGAAAAGUGGUGGCUGAUGGGUGCUUCAUGAAUGACCGGAAAGAAUGAGAACCCUCCAAGCGUGGGUGAUCACGCCGACGCGAUGACUCCGCCUCUUCCUGCAAUAAGGCCAGAGCACAAGCAGUAUCCAGAUCGCGAGGACGUUGUACAAGAAUAACAGCUUUAAUGCCAUCACGAAGUCCAUCUAUGAAUCUCAUAGUAUAAUACAGGGG